rnacentral:misc_RNA from 1 species
UCUCCGUAGGUGAACCUGCGGAGGGAUCAUUACAGAGUUCAUGCCCUACCGGGUAGAUCUCCCACCCUAUGUUAUUAUUACUUUGUUGCUUUGGCGGGCCGUUAGGCUCCGGCCCGAUUACCGGCCCCGGCUGGUAAGCGCCCGCCAGAGGACCCAAAACCCUGAAUAUUAGUGUCGUCUGAGUACUAUAUAAUAGUUAAAACUUUCAACAACGGAUCUCUUGGUUCUG